rnacentral:lncRNA from 1 species
UUCUCUUUCUUUUCAUCAUGUUAUGUUAUGUUCCGCCGCUCCUUGUCUCUCAUUUCACCUUUGAUUUUCUUGUAUUGUGUGAACAGAGCAACAGAAGAAGAUGAAAGACGUAUCUUCAACGACACCGUUUCUUCUCCUAUGUUAUACUGCAACCAGAUGUCUUGUUGAGAAUGAUCAAACAAAAACAACAUUCAAUUUUCUCUGCAUAUCAAAAAGGUACCUUUUUUACAUUCUUCAUAAUUCAAAAACGAAAUAACAAAACAUGCUAUGUCCCAAAACUCUGUUUCACAUUCUUAUUGGUACUAAUAUGGUGAAAGACAGUUUUUUUUUUUUUUUUAGUUUGCUACAGUAUUUUGCAUUUUUUUCAUUGCAACAUAGUGGUUCGGAUACCCAUCUUUUCAUUGAUAUCUUGUUUGGAUACCCAUCUUUUCAUUCUUGAUUAUUCAAGAUUCAAGAACAUCUAAUCUUCUACUUGAAAAGAAAAAACCAAGUUGGAACUAAAGGCAUUUUUAGUUAUAAUUUUCUACUCAUAAAUAUGGGGAGGAAUAAUUUAAUCUUUGAUGACCCAAAUGCGGUCUUGCAAAAUGUGCUAGCUUGGCUGAAAGUUUUUGUAUGAUGUAAAUUCGAAUCAAAAUGGAUAAAUGUUUGUUCGACCCUUACAUCCAUUAUUGGAAUUUUGAAAUGGUAUUUUAAGUUAUUGGUGACCCUUACUCGAUAUAUAUAAAUUAUGAGAUGGUUAACAUUUUAUUUGAUGACCCUCAAGUACAAUUGUUGGUUGUAUUUGUAUAUAUGUUGCCUUGAUGACCUUCGCGCUAUAUGUUGCUUAGAUGACCCUUAAGUCCAUUUUUUAGUGGACUAUAUAAAUUCUUAGAUGGUUUAUAAGUUGCCUUAAUGACCCUUGCCUCAUUAUGUGGAUAAAUGUUGCAUUGAUUAAGUCCAAUUUCUAUUGGCUGUAUAAAUUAGGUGAUGGAUAUAUGUUGCUUCGAUGACCCUUAAGUCCAUUUUUUAUUGGACUAAAUAAAUUCUUAGAUGGUUAUAUGUUGCCUUGAUGGAUGACCCUUGCCUCAAUAUGUGGAUAAAUGUUGCCUCAAUUAUGUCCUAUUGGCUAUUUGGCUAUAUAAAUUAUGUGAUGGAUAUAUGUUGCUUCGAUGACCCUUAAGUCCAUUUUUUAUUGGACUCUAUAAAUUCUUAGAUGGUUUAUAAGUUGCCUUGAUGACCCUUGCCUCAAUAUGUGGAUAAAUGUUGCCUCAAAUAAGUCCACUUUCUAUUGGCUAUAUAAAUUAUGUGAUGGACUUGAUGAAAUGCCUUGAUCAAUGCAAUUCUUGGGAUGACAUGCCUUGAUGAAAUGCAAUUCAUAAUGCAAAAUUAAGACAUAUUGAAAUAAAGUAAAAAAGAGCUUGCAAAUAUUAUGGAGAAAGAUGCUGAAGUUAAAUUUCUGGCACUAGAUCAAUGCAAAAAGCUGAAAGUUAAGUCACUAUGAGUCCUCUUGGUUUAUCAAUAUGGUUCUAUGGAGUGACACUACAGGGUUCUACUCUGCUGAUGAUACGUCAUUUUUAUAUGCCAGAAUAAUAGAUCAUACAAUUUGAUUGAAUUAGUUUGAUUUAUAUGGUAUAAUCACAGGGAUAAUUCUUGCUAAACUUUGCAGCUAGUCAUUUUUAUAGUGUAGCCUCAAUGACCCUCAAGUAUAAUAUCUAUUCAAAAUGUAACUCUUGGAACACGUGCCUUUGAUGAAAUGCAAUUCAUAAUGCAAACUUGAGAGAUGUUUCAUCUUACUCAUUCAUCUGCAAUUGAAUUCUUUAUUCAUAAUAUGAUUGAUCAUGUAAAAUUUAGAUGAUAUAAUUUGAGCUUUAUGAUCUAAAUGAAAAAUGUAAUAGCAACAUGUGUUAAUUAAGAUGAUGAAAAGUAGAAAUCACAAGCAACUUUGCUUCUAAGGUUUGUGGUGGGAUUGGAUUAAUAAGAACUAUAAGCAUGUUAACUUAGCCUUCAUGAUAAAAAGUAAUUGUCAGCUCCAAUCAUUCUAGUCUUUGGGCAACAAUUUUUUGUUAAAUGUAAAGAUUUCUCUGAAUAAAACGGAUUGUAGUCUCUGAAAAGACAUCUGUUAAUGCUUGGUAUAAAUUUUAUAACAAUGUAUGUGGAGAUUAAUGCCAUUGUCUUAAAUUCUACUUUUAUAGUGAUUUUAGUCUUUCUUUAAUUUCUUUAAUGCCAGUUUUUCCUUAUUUAUCAUAUGAUCGAAAGGGAGGGGUGGUAAAGACAUGAUUAAGUUGUCUAUACAUGAAGUAAAAAAGAAAAAAGAGCUCGCAAAUAUUAUGGAGAUGCAAAAAGCUCAAAGUUCAAUUACAUGUAGGUUUAUGAAUUUGGUAAUUUUGAGUGACAGUACAAGGUGUUGUUUGACAUAUUUUUUGGUUUUGCAUCUGGAAUUCUAAUGUUGGUAACUUGGUGUCACAUUUUUUGGUUUGGCUUCAUCAUUUUAGAAGUAUCAUUUUCUGAUAUGCUAGUUUCACUGUCACAUACUCUUGUGCAGCGUUGCCUAAGUGUCUGACCUUGAGUUUUAGUUCUCUUCUCGAUUUUAUUUGUUGACUCUAUUCUGAAGUAGCAUCAAACUUGUAUCGGUGUUCUUAGUUUUUCAUUGGGUGGAAAUAAAAAACUUGUGCUCACUCUAUUUUCAAGGUGGAUUUAGCUUUUCACAUUAUAUACAUGCCUAGCUGUUUUAUCUUAUUUUUAUGAAUUUUUGCAUACCAAUUGGAUAUGGAAGGUCCAAAAUUUCCCUGAAAAAAGUGUAAUUCCCUGAAAUGAGAGAAUUCCGUACUGUUGUGUUCUCGAUGGCAAUGUGCAACCAAUACAACAUGCUUACUGCAUUUUUUUUUUAUCCAGAUACAUUUUAAAGGCAAUAUUAAGACCUAUUCGACACCAUCUCUAUUUGCAGUGUUUUUGUUCACAACAUUGGAGUUCAAGCUGGACACUACUAUGCUUGUAUAUAAG